rnacentral:rRNA from 1 species
GCGGCAGCGGGAGGUGCUUGCACCUCGCCGGCGAGCGGCGGACGGGUGAGUAAUGCAUAGGAAUCUGCCCGGUAGUGGGGGAUAACCUGGGGAAACCCAGGCUAAUACCGCAUACGUCCUACGGGAGAAAGCAGGGGAUCUUCGGACCUUGCGCUAUCGGAUGAGCCUAUGCCGGAUUAGCUAGUUGGUAGGGUAAUGGCCUACCAAGGCAACGAUCCGUAGCUGGUCUGAGAGGAUGAUCAGCCACACUGGGACUGAGACACGGCCCAGACUCCUACGGGAGGCAGCAGUGGGGAAUAUUGGACAAUGGGCGAAAGCCUGAUCCAGCCAUGCCGCGUGUGUGAAGAAGGCUUUCGGGUUGUAAAGCACUUUCAGUGGGGAAGAAAGCCUGUCGGUUAAUACCCGACAGGAACGACAUCACCCACAGAAGAAGCACCGGCUAACUCCGUGCCAGCAGCCGCGGUAAUACGGAGGGUGCGAGCGUUAAUCGGAAUUACUGGGCGUAAAGCGCGCGUAGGCGGCGUGAUAAGCCGGUUGUGAAAGCCCCGGGCUCAACCUGGGAACGGCAUCCGGAACUGUCGCGCUAGAGUGCAGGAGAGGAAGGUAGAAUUCCCGGUGUAGCGGUGAAAUGCGUAGAGAUCGGGAGGAAUACCAGUGGCGAAGGCGGCCUUCUGGACUGACACUGACGCUG